rnacentral:tRNA from 1 species
GGCGGCUUAGCUUAGUUGGCUAGAGCGUUCGGUUCAUACCCGAAAGGUCACAAGUUCGACUCUUGUAGCCGCUACCA